AGGUGAACCUGCGGAAGGAUCAUUAA
rnacentral:ncRNA from 4 species